rnacentral:misc_RNA from 1 species
GAUGAAGAACGUAGCGAAAUGCGAUACUUGGUGUGAAUUGCAGAAUCCCGCGAAUCAUCGAGUUUUUGAACGCAAGUUGCGCCCGAAGCCAUUCGGCCGUGGGCACGUCUGCCUGGGUGUCACGCAUCGUUGCCCCCCCAAACUCCGGUUCGGGCAGGGCGGAAGUUGGCCUCCCGUGCGUGCCUGCGCGCGCGGUUAGCCCAAAAGCGAGUCCUCGGCGACGAGCGCCACGACAAUCGGUGGUUUUUUUACCCUCGUUCCUCGUCGUGCGUGCCCCGUCGCCCGAACGCGCUCUUGCGACCCUUACGCGUCGCCUCGGCGGCGCUCCCAACGCGACCCCAGGUCAGGCGGGACUACCCGCUGAGUUUAAGCAUAUCAAUAAGCGGAGGA